rnacentral:misc_RNA from 1 species
GAUGAAGAACGGUAGCGAAAUGCGAUAAGUAAUGUGAAUUGCAGAAUUCAGUGAAUCAUCGAAUCUUUGAACGCACCUUGCGCUCCUUGGUAUUCCGAGGAGCAUGCCUGUUUGAGUGUCAUUAAAUUCUCAAUCUCUACAGCUUUUGUUGUUUAGUAGAUUGGAUGUGGAGGUUCAUUUGUGUGGGAUGAAAAUCCCUCACUCCUCUUAAAUGUAUUAGCUGGAAUGCCUCUGCAUAUCUGACUAUCAGUGUGAUAAUUAUCUCUACUGUAGUUGUUGCAUGAGGGUAUCUGCUUCAUUAACCGUCGCAAGACAACUCUAAUGACCAUCUUGACCUCAAAUCAGGUAGGACUACCCGCUGAACUUAAGCAUAUCAAUAAGCGGAGGA